CCAUGCCUAUAUAUAUCACAUACAACACAACCCCUAUACGUAUAUAUAUCAUAUGAAACAAAACCCCUCAAAACUUAUAUAUAAUCAUAAACGCAUAUAUAUAAAAGACAUUUAAUUAUUUCAUAUAUACAUACCUAUUUAGAAACUCCCCUGUCACCACAACUUUGCUUAUAUAUACAUAUAUUAUUUAACAAAACCCUAUAAACGCAUAGAUAUAUAUAUUAUAUAAUAAAAUUCACACAUAUUUAUGUAUAACACAAAAUCCACGCGUAUAUUUAUAAUGUUUAUAAGAUGACCAUGCAUACAUACCAUAAGUGGGGCUCGCAAGCCUCACUUUGACUCUUUACAUCUCACAAUUCAUACUAAAACACAACAAACAUGAAGCAGGCCUAAUUCGUCCGGCCCGCAAUAAAACCAGAGAAAUAAAUUAAAAAUAAUAAGUAAUAAAAUCAAAGUAAACCAAUGUCCAUUUACAAAACUCUGGGCCCCUAAAAGAACCCAAAACCAAAAUAAAUAAAAAUACAAAAUACCAAUACAAUAAAAUUCCAUCGGUCUAAAAUAGCCCAUGACCCAAUUAACCUAAAUAAUAACCGACCCAAACAACUGAGUCCAAAUCCUAGCCCAAAUAAACUAAACUCCCACUUGAAACCCGACCCAAUUACAAUACAGGCCCAAAUGACCCAAAUGUUGAUUCAGAAAUUGGAACCCUAGCAAGGGCAUUGCGCAGCUGACCACGAGUGGUUCCCACGCACGGCCUCCACGGCCUCUUCCUCCGUACUGGUUUGCAUCCAUAGAACCUGUAAAAGAACACAUGAGAAGAAAGCAGGCUAACAGAAUACAGCAAAUGAUAGUAGAAAAAUGUAAUUUUAUUUUUUUAUUUAUUUACUCAUGUAAAUCCGGCUAUAAAAAGUCGUCGGGUGUACACUGUAAAGACUUACGCACAUUAAAUACGCAUACAAAUCAGAUAGAGAGGGAUCAGCCAAAAUUUUAAGGUGAUUUCUGAUUUAAAUUUUUCUAGUUUUUUUCUUCUUUUCUUUCGAUUUACUUUCUUGAAUACUUCAUUGUUGCAUUUGUUUUUUUUUUUAAAAGGGAACAAAGGAAAAGAAAACCUUACCAUACGAAUAUGCCGUGGAUCUUCUCUUUACUUCAUUGAAAUCGAACUCGAAGGAAGACCUCGAGGCUGACAGGUCGUUCUUCCAAGCCUGAGAGCACCUAUCGCAACGGUGAAUCGAUGUUUGAAAGGGGGGAUUAGGGUUCGGCUGAAAGGGAUAAAGUGAAUAGGCUAGGGCAUUAUUAGUUCGGCUGAAUGAAGGCCUUAGUUAGCCUUUAUAAAGAAGCAAAAACGACACCGUUUAAACCAACUUCAAUGGUUUAAAAACGACGUCGUCUGGAAGCCAUGCCCGAUGACCCGCUCCAGUGCCCUCAGGAUCCGCGCGUUUGCUGCGUUAAAGGGAAAUUUGUGAAUUUAGUCCCUUCCUGUCGCGCUGGUGUUUGAUUAAGCUUAUUCCAGAUCUCUUUGUUUUUAAUUAUCCCUAGAAUUUGCGUAAUAUUUCAAUUUAACCCGCGCCUCAACACAACGUUUUAGGAUCUGGAAUAUUUCUAGAUUUGGUCCCUGAGUAUUUGCCUGUGUGGCGCGCUGGUCCUUUUUUUUAUUUUUUUAAUGGCUUAUUUUAUUUAUAAAUUAUCCCUUUUAUUUUAGUUCAAUUUUAAUUUAGUUUUCUAUUUGUAUAACUUACUGUUUUAAAAUACAUUUAAUAUUUGUAUAUGUAUUGAUCCAUUUUAAUAUUUGUACAAUAUUUCUUUAAAUAUUCUAUAUAUAUUUGUACAUGUAUUAUUUUGAUUGAGGUUUUAAUUUAUAAUGCUUAUUAUUUUAAAAUUCAUUUAAUAUUUUUAUAUAUGUGUUGAUCUAUUUUAAUUUUUUUGUGUUUUUUAUUUGUAAUUAGGUUGAAGUUCUUUUUUAUAUCAUAUAAUUUUAACAUUUUGCAGAGUAUUUAAUUCAAAUCUUUUUAUAUACUUGUACCUAUAUUAUUUUAAUCGAGUCCUCUAUUCAUUAUUAUGAAAAUCCAUUUAGCUUUUUUUUUAUAUAUGUGUUAAAUCAUUUUGAUAACUUUACUUUAUUUUAUAUAAUCAUUAUUUUGAAGUUUAUUUUAUAUCGUAUUAUUUUAACCAUUUAUAUAAAAAAAUUUAAAUAUUUUUGUGUAUAUUUGUACAUAUAUUAUUUUAAUGGAGUUUUCUAUUUAAAAUACCUAUUGUUUUAAAAUUUACUUAAUAUUUUUAUGUAUAUAUGAAGCUAUUUUAAAAACUUCAUUUCUGUGUUUAUAAAAUUAUUAUUUCGGAAAUUUUCUUUAUAUUAUAUUAUUUUAAAAUUUUAUAUAGUAUCACAUUUAAAUGCUUUGAUAUAUAUUUGCACAUAUAUAAUUUAUAGCAAAAUUAAUUUAAUCUUAUAUGCAUUAUUAUUUCCAUGUUAUUUUGACAUAUAAUUGCUUCUAAAUUCAUUUAUAUAUAUAUAUGUCUUUUAAAUCUAUUGUGUACAUAAUUUGCUUCCUAAUAUCAUAUUUUAUUAUGUAUUUUUACUAUCCUUUCAUAUUUUAUGUAUUAUUUAAAUUCUUCUUAAUUGUGUGUAUAUUCUCAAUUUUUUAUAAAUAUAUUUUUUAACGUUUGGCAUAUUAUUUGAUUUAAAUAUCUUCUUUUUGCAACAUAUUUAAAAAAAUUAUAUAUAUAUUCUUAGUUUUUUUUAAAAAAUUCAAGUUUUAACAUGUGAUAUGUUCUCAUCAAUGCAUCAUUUUUUUUGAAAUUGUUUUGUAUCGUAUUAGUUUUAUGUUAUUUGGAACCUCAUGUGUUAAUUGUUUUUAUAUUAUUUCACGUAUAUUAGUUACACCACACUUGUUCGUUUUUUAUGUAUUAUUAAAUCAAUUGUUGUUCACCUAUGCUUGUGAAUUUGGUUAUUAGUUAUAUUUAAUUGUUUGUUUUAUUAGUAGGUUAAAUAAUGUUAUGUUAUCUUCAUUCAUAAGUAUUGUAUUUUAUGUGUGCAUACUAUCCCAUAUUUAUUAUUUUUCUUUUGGUUUACAAAUGUCGCUUUAUAAUUUCCAACACUUUAAAAACAACUAUUCCAUUGUAUUUCAAAUAAAAUUAAUAUGUUUUGAGUUUAUAAAUCUUUUUAAAAAUCCUAAAAUAAGGCAAUGUUCAGUAUUUAGAAAUUCGAGAAAUUGUGCCCUACCGUGCUGGGUUUCGAUUUUUCGUUGGACUAAAUAUUUGGACACCCUUUUGUAAUUUUCGACCUAAGAGCUUUUGGAAGUCAAAACUCAAUCGUGUUCUCAAAAGCAUAAAGGAUCAUGUCCUAUCAUGCUGGAUGUGAUGCUUUAUACCUUUGAAACGAGAAAGUUUUGACGACCAGCUUAAACCACUCAAACAUUUUAAAAGGAACCAUAUUUCAAUUUUUUUGAAAAAACCCUAGACAUAAGGACAACAAUUAAUCAAUCUGGUACCAGUUUUUGGGCGUAGUGAAGGUGCUAACCCUUCCUCAUACGUAACUGGCUCCCGAACCCAUUUUAAAAUUUACGUGGACCAAAAUUUAUUUAAACAAAAUAAAAUAUUUUAUUAGGUGAUCCAAUCACAACUAAACAAAAAGAUUGGUGGCGACUCUACAUUAGGUUUUAAAAGUCGAUCCCUAUUUUUUUUCAAAUAAAAAAUUGGUUUCGACAGCUUGGCGACUCCACUGGGGAUUGAACAAGAGAGUCAGGCCAUAAAAUUGAUUAUUUUUUGUCCUUUUGUUUAAAUUUGAAAUUUAAUUUGAAAAUCAUGAUUCUUUGUUGCAUUUGUUUGCAUGAUUGUUGUGGUCCAAGUCUUGUAGAAUAAUAUUGCAUUGCAUUGCAUAACCGUUGUGGUUAUACCUUUAAGUGGGAGUCAGAAGCUAUGCCUUUGUGAGGUUUUCACCUCCGUAUGGGCUAGCGAAUUGCUUCCUGGAUACAUCCGUACCUAUGAUUUCGUGAGAUUUUAAUCUCUGUAUGGUCAUAGGGAAAUGUAUUCCCCUGAACUGAACUUGAUCCAUAUGAGCCUAUAAUGGGUGAGGAUUGAGGAAUCUGCUGGUUCAGGUACCUUUACUUUAGAACCAAACCACAUAUAGUAAACCCUAAGAGCCUUCUUUAGGUGGAGCUAGGUUAAAAUUUAGUAGUUUCCCAUAUAUGUGCUUUGAUUAUCUUUGUUUUGCUUGUAUUUUAUUACUUAUAUUUGAUACUGACUUGUGGUGUUUUGUUUUGAUUGUGUUUUGCAUAACAUUACAUAUUAAAGGAGGUGUCGGUUCGUGUUCAAUUACUAAGUUAGAAGAUUUAACAUGGGGAAUGAAUUUCUUGAUAAAGUUGAGGAUAACGCGGUCGUCCGUGCAUGGUCAGAGAAGUUACAAUCAGAGAAAGGGGAUAGCCUGGCAGAAUAAUAUACUUCAGAGUUGCAGAACUUUACUCGUAUCAAUGUGACAUAGAAUAAGUUGCAAGAGUUGAGAGAUAUAUGGGCUCGUUGGGAUGAGGGAACAAAAUAGUUGUUCUAUCAGAACUAUGGUGAUAUACCUUACUUGCUCGACAUUAAGGUAGAUAAGCAUCUGUUCCAAGUUAUGGCUCAAUUUGGGAAUUCUUUCUACAAUUGUUUCACUUUUGGAGAGGUAGAUUUGGUGUCUACCAUGGAGGAAUAUACUACUUUGUUGAGAUGCCCGAAAUUUCAAGUAAAAAAAGCUUAUGCUAAGGUUUUUAAUGGCCCAACUUUUGCAAAGAAAUUGAUGAAUAUUUCAAGGAUGAACGAGCCUUGGGUCAUUGCUCGAAUUCAACAAAAAGGGGAUAGUAAAUGUAUUCUUUGGAAGAAUUUGAGAGAUUUGGUUUUAACACAUCCGGAUGAAAGGAAAAGAUUAGAUAUCUUCGCCUUAAGCAUCUAUGGAUUGGUGAUUUUUCCUAAGACUUUAAGGCAUGUGGAUGAGGCAGUCACUGACUUAUUCGAUCGUCUGGAGAAGGGAAUCACACCUGUACCUGCAAUACUGGCUGAGACAUUCAGAUCCUUGAGCAUGUGUCAGAAGGCAGGCGAGGGGAGAUUUAUUGGAUGUGCACAGCUAUUGAUGGUAUGGUUUCAUGGGCAUUUUUGGAAAGUAAACAGGGUUUCUUACUAGGUCUUCUCUGAAAGCUAUUCCCCAUUAAAGGAGGAGGCAGUUAUGCAAAGGAAAGAUGAUAUUUUUGAGGAGAAAUGGAUGGAAAUUCUUCAAAAUCUCAAGGAGGAAGAUAUAGAGUGGAGAAAUUUUUGGAUGGUUCCUGAUGAGAUCCUGUAUCGAUGUGGGAACUUUGAUUGGGUACCAUUGUCAAGAAUUUGGGGAGCCACUGGGUAUGCUCCAUUGCUUGCAUUUAGGAAGUAUAAAUCGAGGCAGCUUGUUCCCAUGAUUUACGGGCUGGCUCAGUGUGAAUUCCCAUAUAAAGGUAACCACUAUAAGAAGAAAGUUUAGGAACUAUCUGAUGCUUGGAAGCAAACUUGCUGGAUAAAGAGGUUGGCUGUUGGUUCCAUGGUGAAAACUGAAUACAAUGGAUGGUUUAGAAAAAGGGUCAAUGAUAAUAUUCCUAGACCAAGUGUAGAAGGUACCCGACCAAUGGAGGAACAAUUACAAGUCGCCCCGUUAGAGUUGGAAAUUAUAAAAAAGGACUUUGAGAAGAAGAGUUCUGAGCUUGGGAAAAGGAUCGAGUAGUUGGAGGAAGAAAAAAUACACCUGAAAUUAGAUGUAGAGGUUCAGAAGUUAGAGGCAGAAAAGUUACGAAAAAGGAAGAAUGAGGCAUUGGAGAAAAGUCUGUUAGAGAGUAAAAGUGAACAAGACAAAUUAAAGGCUAGAGUAGCAGAACUUGAGAGAUCUCUAUGUCUAUACCGGAAUCGCAAUUCUAUGAUGGAGUUGAGAGCAAGCUUAAGCAAGAUCGAGGAGAUGAAAGGGAAAAUAGAAGAAUUAGAGACGGCAUUGCAGAGUUGUGAAAUGAGGAUCGAGUUCUUGGAAGCAAACGAAGAACAAUGGAAGGGACAACUUCAUCACUCUCAAAACCAAGUUAGAAGCAGGGAUUACAUUAUGGGAGAAGCCAUGACGCAAAUUCGGGAGGUAGCUGAUUACUUGCAGACUUUAGCAGUACAGGCCGACAUAUUAAGUUUGAAGUAUGAAUUGGAAUCAAAUAAGGGGUAGGAGCUAGCCUCGUUGCUUAGGAAAAUUAAGGCUUUGAGCAUUAGGGCGAAGUCUUAUUUGUAACUUAGUUUUAUGUAAAGAAUUUUAUUUUCUAGUAAAGUUUUAUAAAUGAAAUUGAAUCAGAAUUGAUGCCUCCAUUGCAUUCAUGCAUUUGUAUUACAUUACAUCAUAUGCAUUAAAGGCCAUAAAAAGAUUCUAAUUAAUUAAAAAUUAUUUUAGUAAUCUGGAAACCAACAAAAACACACCAAAUACACAUCUUUACGGUAAAAGGAAAAAGACCAAGUCAAUAGACAAAAGGCUUGAGAAGUUAGAACAAAUGCAAAGAGAUAUGCAAGAAUAAAUGCAGUCACAGAUGCAAGAGCAGUUAGCUAAGAUUCAGCAAGAGAUGAAGGAACAAAAGAUGGAGUCCUAAAGAGAUAUGAUGAACUAAUUGUCCCAAUUGCUAGUGGGAAGGAUGGAUAGGGGAAAAAGUCUUACGGAUAAUGUUGGGGAAAAUAAUGAAGACCCUCAGCUUCCUCUUGGCUUCACUCCUACACAUGUGCAGACACAACCUGAGAUUAAUUUGUAGAAACCAUCUGUUACGAUUAGGCCUCAGCAGUUUCUGGCUGGAGUUUCAGUACCAAUGAAUUUUCAAGCUGGCUCAGGUUUUAAUCCUGGUAAUAACUCGAAUAAUCCAAUGGUGCCUGAUUUGGAUGAAGUUACGAAAGAGGAAAGGGCAAGGACAAAAUCACAGAAACAGUUAGAGGAGCGGUGUAAAUGGCUGGAGGAAAAGGUUAGAGCAAUGGAAAGUGUUGAUAGACAUCCCGGAAUUGAUGCAAAAGAUCUGAGUUUGGUCCCAGACUUAGUACUUCCAUACAAGUUCAAGAUGUCAGAAUUUGAGAAAUACAAUGGAACGAGUUGUCCUAAAGCUCAUAUCACUAUGUUUUGCAGAAGAAUGACUGUGUAUGUUAAUAACAAUCAAUUGUUGAUUCAUUGCUUCCAAGACAGUUUGGUGGGGGUAACAGCUAAAUGGUACAAUCAGUUGAGUCGAAACAGAAUUAGUUCAUGGAGAGAUCUGGCACAAGCAUUCAUGAAGCAGUAUAGCCAUGUGACAGAUAUGACUCCUGACAGAAUUACUCUUUAGAAAAUGGAAAAGAAACCAAACGAAAGUUUUAAGUAGUAUGUACAGAGAUGAAGGGAAGUGGCCAUUUAGGUUCAGCCACCACUCUUGGAGAAGAAAACUACAAUGCUCUUUAUUAAUACCUUAAAAGCUCCGUUCAUGACUCACAUGUUAGAAAGUGCCACAAGGAGUUUUACAGAGGUGGCCAUAACAGGAGAAAUGAUUGAGAAUGCCAUAAGAAAUGGAAGGAUAGAGGCAGGAGAAAGUGCUAAAAGGUCUGCUCUACGAAAAAAGGAAAAUGAGGUGAACAAUGGAAACAUGGGGUAUUCAAAGCCUGUUAUUGUAAGUCAGCCAAAGGCGAUGACUGCUGGUCAGGGCUCAUCAAGGCAGGAAUUUUGGAGCAAAAAAAAAUAAUGAGAAGCUUCAAUUUACUCUAAAGCCAUGUGGUGGCACCUUUUUAUCUAAAGCCAUUACAGCCUUCGUUCCCUAAAUGGUACAAUGCCAAUAGUCAAUAUGAGUAUCAUGCAGGGAUCGUAGGGCAUUCGAUAGAAAAUUGCACUACUUUCAAGAAGUUGGUUGAGAGGUUUAUUCAGAUGGGCAUUGUGAAAUUCGAUAAUGCGCCCAGUACAGAAAAUCUGCUACCUAAUCAUACUGAUAGUGGGAUAAAUGCAAUAGAUGGAGGUAUAGGAAAAAGAAUCAAGGCGGAUGUUACGGAAGUAAAAACUCCUUUGAAAUGGGUCUGAAAGGAGAUGGCAAGAAGGGGGUUAGUUAUGUCGAAUUCAGAAAGAAGUGAUAAUGAGAUAAAGAAUUAUUGUGAGUUCCAUCAUGAAGAGGAACACAAAAUUCAAGAAUAUGAAGAGUUCAGAGCUAUUAUUUAGGGCCUGAUGGACAACAAGGAAAUAAAAUUUUAUGAAGGGGUUAAGGAGGAGGAGUAUAUGUGCGCGUCAGAAUCCACGUCGAGUGUCCCGAAAGUCAGUUAUCCUUUGGUUAUUAUUUCACGUCCUACGAAUGAAACAGGAGUUUAGAUAACACCAAAGAUUAUAAUUCAGAAGCCAUCGGUUUUCUCUUACAAGGAUAGUAAAAGGGUCCUCUGGAAAUAUAUUGUACUGUGACAAUCCCGAGAAAAGAGAGUUCAGUCAGCCCGUUAAAAGAGGAUUAAAAUAUAGGUUCUCACACACGCAGUGAAAGAUGAUAUGAUUUGACAAAUGCCCGAACAGAACCUGCAAAAGGAAGAGAUGUGAUGGUCGAACAAAAGAAGGGAAAAGCGAUCGAACAUGGGGUACCUGUUAAUGAACUGGUGAAAGAAGAAGAAGCUAGAGAGUUCCUAAAAUUUUUGAAACAUAGUGAGUACAGUGUGGUGGAAUAGUUGCAUAAACAACCAGCCCGCAUAUCUAUAUUAGCUUUGCUCCUAAGCUCAGUGGUACACCAAAAUGCAUUAAUGAAAGUGCUGAACGAGACGUACGUGACCAAUGAUAUUUCUGUCAAUAAGUUGGAUCGGUUGGUUAAUAACAUAAGUGCAGAUAGUUUCAUCUUUUUCAAUGAUGAUGAGAUACCACUAGGAGGUAUGGGAUCUACCAAAGCUUUGCAUAUAACCACCAGAUGUAAAGGAUACACAUUGUUAGGGGUUCUGGUUGACAAUGGGUCGGCAUUGGAUGUGUUGCCCUUGUCCACGUUAAACAGGUUACUUGUGGAUAUCUCACACAUGAAGGGAUGUUAGAAUAUUGUACGAGCAUUUGAUGGCACAGAAAUGAGAGUUAUGAGGAGAAUAGAAAUACCUUUGUUGAUUGGCCCAACUACAUAUGAGGUAGAUUUCUUAGUGAUGGAUAUUAAGCCCUCUUACAACUGCCUGUUAGGGAGACCUUGGAUACAUUUGGCAGGGGCAGUGCCUUCAUCAUUAGAUCAGAAGUUAAAGCUAGUAUCAGAAGGACGGUUGGUGACGAUAAAUGCUGAAGAGGACAUUAUUGUAGCUGUAAGCAGUGAUGCACCAUAUUUAGAGACAUAUGAUGAAGAUAUUGAGUGUUCUUUUCGAUCUUUGGAGUUUGUGAAUGCAACAUUCGUUGCUAAGGGAAGUAGAAUUCUGGAACCGAAAAUGUCUAAAACUAUGAUGAUGGGUCUACAGCUGAUGGUAGGACAUGGAGCUUCACCAGAAAAGGGACUUGAGAGAUGUCUCCAGGGAAGAUUUGAAGUUCUGAUGCUAAAAGAAAAGCAUGAUCGUUUUGAUUUGGGGUUCAGGCCAAAUGCAAGACAAAGGAAAAGGGAAUUGGAAAAAAGGCGAGAAAGAAGAAGAGCACAUGUGAAUGGUGGAGAAAUUCAGUGGGAGCCCAUGAUAAUCCCUCACAUCUCUAGGACUUUUGUAUCAGGAGGGAUUAUUUAUCCUAAAUGAGGGAUACCGGAGAAAGAAAACAUGGAAGGAGUAUUGGGAAAUGUGCACAUCAAUGCCAUAUUUGAAGAGACAAUUGAAUAUGGGAUUUCGUCAGAUAUUCGUCCAUAUGAGCCUGGGAGUGUUCUAGACAAUUGGACUGUAGAAGACAUUCCUGUAGUUUUUAAAGCUCACUCAGAGUAAUGUUUAAAACAAACUUGUUGUUUUAAGCCUAGAGGCAACAAAGAUUUCUUUGUGAAAUAGGCUCAUGUUCAAACAUCAUUAUUUCAAUGAAAUACAUUUUUGCUAUCAUUUUGAGUAAACAUUUUUUAUUCUUUCCACAAGUAAUUGUGUUAUUCUUUCCAUUUAAAUAAUUAUCCUGAUUCUUUUUUGGACUUUCUUCAAUCAUUCUUUUAUUUCAUUCAUAAACAUACCAUACAGACAAUAAUUAUCAAAUUCAUUCAUUCAUUGUAUAUUUUCUGUACCUAUAAUAGGUCCCUGGAUAUUAAUAUCACGAGUGACGUUGUUACUGACUCAGAAUCACUAUUUGAGCAAGACAUGUGUUUAGAGGGAUCUCAGGACUUUGAAGAUGACAGAGACUGUGAUUUAUCUCCAGACUUGUUAAGGAUAGAAGAAUAGGAGGAAAAGUAAAUUUCACAUCAUAAAGAAGUAGUGGACAUGGUGACUCUAGAAGAGGGGAAAGUUGUAAAAAUUGGAACAUGUAUAACUGAAGAAACAAAGCGAGACCUUGUUGGGUUGCUUCAGGAAUUCAAAGGUGUUUUUGCAUGGUCAUACCGAGAUAUGCCUGGCUUAAGCACUGAUAUUGUGGUACAUCGCCUUCCCAUAAGAGAAGAUUGCAAGCCAGUACAGCAGAAACUCCGAAGAAUGAGGCCAGAUAUUGUUUUAAAAAUAAAUGAGGAAGUUAAGAAGUAAUUUCAUGCGGGAUUCCUUCAGGUGAUCAAGUAUUUAGAAUGGGUAGCCAACGUUGUGUCUGUUCCCAAGAAGGACGGCAAGGUGGGAAUGUGUGUGGAUUAUAGAGAUCUACAUAAGGCAAAACCAAAGGAAAGUUUUCCCUUGCCUCACAUUGAUACGUUGGACAAUACAGCUGGUUACUCGUUGUUGUCCUUCAUGGAUGGUUUCUAGGGGUAUAAUCAGAUCAAGAUGCAUCCUGAGAACAUGGGAAAGACUACUUUCAUAACCUUGUAGGGCACAUUUUGUUACAAGGUGAUGCCAUUUGGAUUAAAUAAUGUUGGAGCAACAUAUCAAAGGGCCAUGGUGACCUUAUUUCAUGAUAUGAUGCACAAUGAGAUUAAAGUCUAUGUUGAUGAUAUGAUAGCCAAAUCCCGAACCAAAAAGGAGCACAUCCAAGUGUUGAGAAAGUUGUUCAUGAGAUUGAGAAAAUUUCAGUUAAAGCUUAAUCCAACCAAGUAUACCUUUGGGGCUAGAUCCGGAAAGCUAUUGGGCUUUGUAGUCAGUGAGAGUGGAAUUGAGAUUGAUUCAAACAAAGUCCGAGUUAUACAAGAGUUGUCUCCACCACGUACUUAAAAAGGGGUUCAAGGUUUCCUAGGAAGACUAAAAUACAUUACUCGGUUUAUUUCUCAAUUAACGGAGAAAUGUGACCCUAUAUUUCAUCUUCUUAGAAAGCAUAACCCAGGAGAAUGGGAUGAUGAAUCCAGAAAGCUUUUGAUAAAGCUAAAAAAUAUUUGUCGAGUCCUCCAGUGUUAUCAUCUCCAAGCUCAGACAGGCCGUUAAUAUUGUAUUUAACCGUGUUUGGUAAUUCUAUGGGAUGUGUGCUUGGUCAACAUGAUGAAUCAAGAGGAAAAGAAAGGGCGAUAUAUUACCUCAGUAAAAAAUUCACUGAGUAUGAAUUGAGAUAUUUGCCAAUUUAAAAAUUGUGUUGUGCUUUGGUUUGGACAGCUCGGAGGUUGAGGUAAUAUAUGUUGUACCAUACGACUUGGUUAAUUUCAAAGUUGGAUCCUCUAAAGUAUAUGAUGGAGUCAAAUGCCUUGAAUGGAAGAAUGGUUAGGUGGCAAAUUCUGCUUUCUGAAUUUGACAUAAUCUACGUGAGUCAAAAAGCCGUAAAAGGGAGUGUAAUAGCAGAUUUUCUAGCCAGUCGAGCUUUAAAAGAUUAUGAGCCCUUUAAUUUUGAUUUUCCUAAUGAAGAGAUAGUGUAUGUGACAGCUACUGAAGAGGACACUGCAAAAGAUUAAUCUUGGAAAUUGAAUUUUGAUGAAGCCUCGAGCGCUAUAGGUAAUGAGAUUGGAGCGGUCUUGGUGUCUCCGGAUGGAGAUCGUUAUCCAUUCAUAUGUAAAUUGGAUUUUGAUUGUAUGAAUAGUAUGGCAGAGUAUGAAGCAUGUAUCAUGGGGCUCCAAGCAGCUAUAGAGCGCAAGAUUAAGUCACUGGAAGUAUAUGGAGAUUCUGCGCUGGUAAUUUACCAACUUCAAGGUGAAUGGGAGACAAGAGAUUCCAAAUUAAUCAAUUACAGAAGGUUGGUGUUGGGGUUAGUCGAAGAAUUUGAUGAUAUUACCUUCAAUUAUCUCUCGCGCGAUGAAAACCAGAUGGCAGAUGCUUUGGCUACUUUCACUUCCAUGAUCAAAGUAAGCAGACAAGAAGAUGUGAAGCCCAUUCAGAUGAGUAUUUGUAAGGCCCCGUCUUAUUGUUAUAAUAUAGAGGAAGAAGUGAGAGAUGAUCAUCCUUGGUAUCAGGAUAUAUUGCGAUAUGUGAGAAAUCGUGAAUAUUCAGAUCAAGCCACGGAGAAUGAAAAAAGGGCGUUGAGAAGACUCGCCUGUGAUUAUGUUUUAGAUGGGGAGAUCCUAUACAAAAGAAGAAAGGAUCAGGUACUUUUGAGAUGUGUGGAUACUGUGGAGUCCAAGAAAAUCUUGGAAGAAGUUCACGAAGGGGUUUGUGGAAUGCACGCCAAUGGGUUCACAAUGGCUAGACAAAUUAUAAGGUUCAGAUAUUAUUGAUCAACCAUGGAAGGAGACUACAUCAAUUAUGCCAAGUGAUGUCACAAAUGUCAAAUUUAUGGUGAUAAGAUUCAUGUACCUCCCUCACCUUUGCAUGUUUUCUAUGUGGGGCAUGGAUGUCAUAGGCCUAAUCUCACCGAAGGCUUCAAAUGGGCAUCGUUUCAUCUUUGUGGUUAUUGACUAUUUUACCAAGUGGGUGGAGGCUACUUCAUAUGCUCAUGUAACUAAAUCGGCAGUCAGCAGAUUUUUAAAGAAGGAAAUCAUAUGUCGAUAUGGGAUGCCUCAAAAGAUCAUAUCUAAUAAUGCAUUAAAUUUGAACAAUAACACAAUAGCAGAGGUCUACAGUCAGUUUAAAAUUAGACACCAUAAUUCAUCACCAUAUCGCCCAAAAAUGAAUGGGGCAGUGGAAGCAACCAAUAAAAAUAUCAAGAAGAUUGUGGGAAAAAUGACCAAAACUUAUAGAGAUUGGCAUGAGAAGUUGUCAUUCGCUCUCUACGCUUAUUGAACAUCUGUCAGAACUUCUACUGGGGCAACGCCUUUCUCAUUGGUUUAUGGAAUAGAAGCAGUUCUACCCAUUGAGGUGGAGAUACCUUCUCUCCGGGUUUUGUCAGAAUUGAAGUUAGAUGAAGCAGAAUGGAUACAGUCUCGAUAUGAUCAGUUGAAUUUAAUUGAGGAAAAGAGGCUAAGGGCUAUCUAGCAUGGUCAGAUGUAUCAAAAAAGAAUGAUGUGGGCUUAAGACAAAAAGGUUCACCCAAGAGAAUUUCAUGAGGGAGAUUUGGUUUUGAAAAAGAUUCUUCCUAUACAAAAAGAUUUCAGAGGAAAAUGGAUACCAAAUUGAGAGGGGCCUUAUGUGGUAAAGAAAGCUUUCUCCAGAGGAGCAUUAAUCCUAGAUGAAAUGGAUGGAAAAGACUUGUCUAAUCUAGUAAACUCGGAUUCAGUCAAAAAGUACUACACCUAGUGAGGGAAAGAAGCCAAAGUGAAAACCCGCAAAGGGCACUUUGUGACUUUCUUAAAAAAAAGGGGGGGCCAAAGUGAAAACCUGCAAAGGGCGCUUUGAGACUCAAUAGAAAUGAAAAAGAAAAAGGAGAGGCCAAGGUGAAAACCCGCAAAGGGCGCCUUGAGACCAAAGGGGAUUUAAGUUGAAAACCCAAAAAGGGCGGCUCAAAUGACGAUCUAAAGUGGGAAGGCGAUGAUCUUGCUAUACUUGAAUUAACCAGGAAGGGGGUAUGUUGCAUCUUGGGGCAUUGACAAAGUACUUCUGAUCUCCUAAACACAUGUCAAACUUGAAUUUGUCUUCAAGAAGUUCAUACGGAGAAGCUCAGUUUCCGAUAUCAAGAGUACCUAGUCUUCAUUUUAUUUAUAGUAAAUUGGCUAUUUUUGAAUUAGUCUUUCUUUUUCAGGAUGUACAUUCUCGAAUCAAUGGCCAUUUUUUUCCUUUGAUGAUUUAUUCACUUUGAGCUUAAAUUCAAUGUCAUUCUUAUCCAUUUUUACGAUUUGAUUUCAAGCAUGUUGCAUUGAAAUAAUGAUGAAUGACCUAGUAAUGUUUCACAAUAGAAGUUUUGCAUAUUACUCUAGGAGUUUCUAGAUAAUGCAAGAAUCUGAAAUGGGACAAUUGUUUAGAAUGCACCAAAGUUCAAGGAUAUAAUUGAAUAAAUCGCCUCUUUGGGUUUCUAUCCAAAUGAUUGAACAAAAAGGACAAGAUAUGGCAUUGAUGAUACAAUUUGGAAAAAUUAUCAAUAUAAAAAGGAAUUGUUCUUAAGAAAGGGGAAAUGAUAUUUUGUAUCCUUGUAAAUAUCAAACACGCACAUCUGGCUAUGACACCGGAGGAGUGAGGUAGCAGAUCGAACAUAUGAAAAUUCAAUUAUGAGUUGUAAUGUUUUGUCUCAGAAAGAAAAGUAGAAGGGACAUUGGAAUUAUAGCGAGGCAAGCUUGUUGAGCAGAAUAUGGUUGUUUCUUUGGGAUACUCUAUCAAAAUGCUGAUUGAGAGAGAUGAAUGUGUAAUACGGUAGGGACAACAUACUGAUGAACAACGAGUGAUGAUACCUUAAAAUUUAAAUGGAAUCAUUCUCAUUUAUGCAUAUAUCAUUCAUACCAUAUUUAGUUAGGAGCAUUGGAUUCAUUUCAAUCAUAACAUCUUAAUUAUUUGGCAUAAACAUACGCAUAUAAAAUGGAGUCUACAAGACAUGUUCCUUAGAUGACAGUGUAGCGACAUUGGUGAAGAUGAAAGAUCUUAUCUCCCUGAAGUUGCAGUGGAGUAGAUCGAAGAUGGCUAAUCUUAUCUCCAUCUAUCAGCAAUGAAGCAGAUUUGAGCCACCAGCCUUAUCUCUCUGAGGUUGCAAGAGAGCGGGUUGAAGAAUGAGUCUUAUCUUUCUAAGACAGCAAGAAAGUAGACUGAAGAUUGAAGAUCUUAUCUCCCUAAGCAGUAGUGGAGCAGAUCGAAAGAGGCGAGUCUUAUCUCUAUGUAUCGGUAAUGAAGCAGAUUUAUGCCUCGAGCCUUAUCUCCCUGAAGUUGUAGAGGAGCGGGUUCAAGAUAUGAGUCUUAUCUUCCUGAGGUAGCAAGGAAGCAGACUGAAGAUUGAAGAUCUUAUCUCCCUAAGUAGUAGUGGAGCAGAUCGAAGGAUGGCGAAUCUUAUCUCCAUGUAUCGGCACUAGAGCAGAUUUUAGCCACUAACCUUACCUCCCUGAAGGUGCAGUAGAGCAGGCUUUAUAUACAAGUCUUAUCCUCCUGAGGUAGCAAGGAAACAGACUGAGGAUUGAAGAUCUUAUCUCCCUAAGCAGUAGUGGAGUAGAUCAAAUAUGGUGAAUCUUAUCUCCAUGUAUCGACAAUGGAGCAGAUUUUCGCCACUAGCCUUAUCUCUCUAAGGUAGCAAGAGAACAUGUUGAGGAUAUUGGUCUUAUCUUCCUGAUGUAGCAAGGAAGCAGACUAAAGAUUGAGGAUCUUGUUUCCCUUAAGUAGCUGUGGAGCAGGUCAAAGACAACAAAUCUUAUCUCUAUGUAUCGACAAUGGAAUAGAUUUAAGUUACCAGCCUUGUAUACCUGAAGUUGUAGUGGAAAAGGUUGAAAUUACCAAAAAGUUCCAACGGUGAAUUGGAACGAGGCAACGUGAAGAAAAGAAGGGCCAAAAAGUCAAAGAUGCAGUAAGACCCGGGCAAAAUUGGUCCUUUUAAGGUCUUUGCUUCAUCCUUGUUACACGACAAUGAGCAAAGAGGGGCAGCUGUAGCAGGCCCAAUUUGCCCGGCCCGUAAUAAAACCAGAGAAAUAAAUUAAAAAUAAUAAAAUAAUAAAAUCAAAAUAAACCAAUGUCCAUUUAUAAAACUCUGGACCCCUAAAAGAACCAAAAACCAAAAUAAAACAAAUAAAUAAAAAAACCAAUACAAUAAAAGUCCAUCGGUCUAAAAUAGCCCAUGACUCAAUUGACCUAAAUAAUAUCCGACCCAAACAAUUGAGUCUAAAUCCUAGCCCAAAUAAACUAAACUCCCAGUUGAAACCUGACGCAAUUACAAUAUAGGCCCAAAUGACCCAAAUGUUGAUUCAGAAAUUGGAACCCUAGCAAGGGCCUUGCGCAGCUGCCCACGAGUGGUUCCCAUGCACGGCCUCUACGGCCUCUUCCUCCGUACAGCUUUGCAUCCAUAGAAC
rnacentral:lncRNA from 1 species